rnacentral:rRNA from 1 species
UCUUUUAAUCGAGAUUUUGCCUUCGGGUACAAUUGAGACAGGUGGUGCAUGGUUGUCGUCAGCUCGUGUCGUGAGAUGUUGGGUUAAGUCCCGCAACGAGCGCAACCCUUGUGUUUAGUUGCAAACAGGUCAAGCUGUGCACUCUAGACAGACUGCCGUGGACAACACGGAGGAAGGUGGGGAUGACGUCAAAUCAUCAUGCCCCUUAUGAUCUGGGCUACACACGUGCUACAAUGGCCGGUACAACGGGCAGCGAAGGAGCGAUCCGGAGCGAAUCCUAAAAAGCCGGUCCCAGUUCGGAUUGCAGGCUGAAACUCGCCUACAUGAAGUUGGAGUUGCUAGUAAUCGCGAAUCAGAAUGUCGCGGUGAAUGCGUUCCCGGGUCUU